rnacentral:rRNA from 1 species
AUACGGAGGGUGCGAGCGUUAAUCGGAAUUACUGGGCAUAAAGCGUGCGUAGGCGGUUUGCUAAGUCAGAUGUGAAAGCCCCGGGCUUAACCUGGGAACUGCAUUUGAUACUGGCAGACUAGAGUAUGAUAGAGGGGGGUAGAAUUCCUGGUGUAGCGGUGAAAUGCGUAGAUAUCAGGAGGAAUACCAGUGGCGAAGGCGGCCCCCUGGAUCAAUACUGACGCUGAGGUACGAAAGCGUGGGGAGCGAACAGGAUUAGAAACCCUAGUAGUCC